AAGCGCAUACGGUGGAUGCCUUGGCAGUCAGAGGCGAUGAAAGACGUGGUAGCCUGCGAUAAGCUUUGGGGAGUCGGCAAACAGACUGUGAUCCAGAGAUCUCUGAAUGGGGGAACCCAGCCAGCACAAGCUGGUUAUCUUGUACUGAAUACAUAGGUGCAAGAGGCGAACCAGGGGAACUGAAACAUCUAAGUACCCUGAGGAAAAGAAAUCAACCGAGAUUCCCUUAGUAGUGGCGAGCGAACGGGGACCAGCCCUUAAGCUGGUUUGAGAUUAGUGGAACGCUCUGGAAAGUGCGGCCAUAGUGGGUGAUAGCCCCGUACACGAAAAUCUCUUGCCAGUGAAAUCGAGUAGGACGGAGCACGAGAAACUUUGUCUGAACAUGGGGGGACCAUCCUCCAAGGCUAAAUACUACUGACUGACCGAUAGUGAACCAGUACCGUGAGGGAAAGGCGAAAAGAACCCCGGCGAGGGGAGUGAAAAAGAACCUGAAACCGUGUACGUACAAGCAGUGGGAGCACCUUCGGGUGUGACUGCGUACCUUUUGUAUAAUGGGUCAGCGACUUAUAUUCUGUAGCAAGGUUAACCGUAUAGGGGAGCCGCAGGGAAACCGAGUCUUAACUGGGCGUUAAGUUGCAGGGUAUAGACCCGAAACCCGGUGAUCUAGCCAUGGGCAGGUUGAAGGUUGGGUAACACUAACUGGAGGACCGAACCGACUAAUGUUGAAAAAUUAGCGGAUGACUUGUGGCUGGGGGUGAAAGGCCAAUCAAACCGGGAGAUAGCUGGUUCUCCCCGAAAGCUAUUUAGGUAGCGCCUCGUGAAUUCAUCUUCGGGGGUAGAGCACUGUUUCGGCUAGGGGGUCAUCCCGACUUACCAACCCGAUGCAAACUACGAAUACCGAAGAAUGUUAUCACGGGAGACACACGGCGGGUGCUAACGUCCGUCGUGAAGAGGGAAACAACCCAGACCGCCAGCUAAGGUCCCAAAGUCACAGUUAAGUGGGAAACGAUGUGGGAAGGCACAGACAGCCAGGAUGUUGGCUUAGAAGCAGCCAUCAUUUAAAGAAAGCGUAAUAGCUCACUGGUCGAGUCGGCCUGCGCGGAAGAUGUAACGGGGCUAAACUGUGCACCGAAGCUGCGGCAGCGACACUAUGUGUUGUUGGGUAGGGGAGCGUUCUGUAAGCCUGCGAAGGUGGCCUGUGAGGGUUGCUGGAGGUAUCAGAAGUGCGAAUGCUGACAUAAGUAACGAUAAUGCGGGUGAAAAGCCCGCACGCCGGAAGACCAAGGGUUCCUGUCCAACGUUAAUCGGGGCAGGGUGAGUCGACCCCUAAGGCGAGGCCGAAAGGCGUAGUCGAUGGGAAACAGGUUAAUAUUCCUGUACUUGGUGUUACUGCGAAGGGGGGACGGAGAAGGCUAUGUUAGCCGGGCGACGGUUGUCCCGGUUUAAGCAUGUAGGCGGAGGUUCCAGGUAAAUCCGGUACCUUUUAACGCUGAGGUGUGAUGACGAGGCACUACGGUGCUGAAGUAACAAAUGCCCUGCUUCCAGGAAAAGCCUCUAAGCAUCAGGUAACAUUGAAUCGUACCCCAAACCGACACAGGUGGUCAGGUAGAGAAUACCAAGGCGCUUGAGAGAACUCGGGUGAAGGAACUAGGCAAAAUGGCACCGUAACUUCGGGAGAAGGUGCGCCGGUGAGGGUGAAGCACUUGCUGCGUAAGCCCACGCCGGUCGAAGAUACCAGGCCGCUGCGACUGUUUAUUAAAAACACAGCACUGUGCAAACACGAAAGUGGACGUAU
rnacentral:rRNA from 1 species